rnacentral:rRNA from 1 species
AGCGAACGUUGGCGGCGUGCCUAACACAUGCAAGUCGUGGGGCAGCAGGCUACUGUCUUUUGGCAGUAGUGCUGGCGACCGGCAAACGGGUGAGUAACACGUAGCUUACCUACCCAUAGGUUGGGGAUAACAUCCCGAAAGGGGUGCUAAUACCCAAUAAUGAGGAGACUCCAAAGCCCUUAUGGGCGCCUAUGGAUGGGGCUGCGUCCCAUCAGCUAGUUGGUGAGGUAAUGGCUCACCAAGGCUACGACGGGUAACCGGUCUGAGAGGAUGACCGGUCACAGUGGGACUGAGACACGGCCCGCACCCCUACGGGGGGCAGCAGUGGGGAAUAUUGGGCAAUGGCCGAAAGGCUGACCCAGCAACGCCGCGUGGUGGAUGAAGCCCUUCGGGGUGUAAACACCUUUUCUGGGGGAAGAUAAUGACGGUACCCCAGGAAUAAGGGACGGCUAACUACGUGCCAGCAGCCGCGGUAAUACGUAG